AUUGAACGCUGGCGGCAGGCCUAACACAUGCAAGUCGAGCGGAGCGGCCGACGGGUGGGUAAUGCCUAGGUAUCUGGCAGGUUGUGCGGGAGAAGGUGCGGAAAGGGGGGAUAGUACCGCAUACUAUCACAUGAGCAUAGGUCGGAUUGGCUAGGUGGUGGGGUAAAGGCCUACCAGGGCGACGAUCCGUAGCUGGUCUGAGAGGAUGAUCAGUCACACUGGAACUGAGACACGGUCCAGACUCCUACGGGAGGCAGCAGUGGGGAAUAUUGGACAAUGGGGGAAACCCUGAUCCAGCCAUGUCGCGUGUGUGAAGAAGGUCUUCGGAUUGUAAAGCACUUUAAGUUGGGAGGCGUUACCAACAGAAGAAGCACCGGCUAACUUCGUGCCAGCAGCCGCGGUAAUAC
rnacentral:rRNA from 1 species